AUUCAGGGUAAUUCAUACCUUUUGAAAGGAGUUCUCAAAGAUUCUACAAAGAAAACCCCUUUUAACAUUAUAGCUAAACUGUUUACUCGUGUGAUUUCCGAAGUGAAAUUCUCAGCAGAUUGAGAUAACUAUAAAAAAAACAGAGUUAGACAAUUGAUCUGAGUAGAUAUCAGGGGAUAAGUGAUUGAAACUCUUCCAGCCUGUAGAGACAAGAGGAAGGAAUGCUGAUUCCCCUGUCAAGUCACUCAGUGCCCCAAGGAGGAUGCCAGCCCAUCUCUUUAUACUCCAUUACUUUGGGCCCUUCUGGUUUACUGACAAGAUUCUAUCAUGCCACAAAGGGGAAAAGAACUCAUAAAUCUACAUGUUGACAUGUAAAGGGGAAUAACUCUUGAAAUGUGAUCUCAGUGAUUUUCAAGGACAGACACAAAACACAAUGGUGCCAAAUUCUGUUUUUGCUUUUACAUGUAUUUUUUUUAUUAUUCCUAGACCAAAUAUGGGAUUGUUUUGUUGUACAUUUAAGGUAACGUGAGAUAAAUGGUGAAUAAAUGUAUUCACUGCGAGAGCAUUUCCUAUGACAAUGUAUGUGGUAUAUGUGUGCUAAAUGUGAGGUUCAUUGGAUUGAUUGUAAUGAGGUGUAAGAAAUGUGUCAAUAACUGCAAAAUAUUUACCAUGGCAGCACAUACUGGUAUGCAUUUUGUAUUGAUAUAACUGCCUGAUAUGAGGGUAAUGAUAAUAAAAUAUAUUUUUAAAAUAUG
rnacentral:misc_RNA from 1 species